ACACGGAAGGGUAGCUCUGUCCUAAGGAGGGUGCAAAGGUCACGCGCUAUGGUGUGCAAUGCUCCAGUUCUGUGUGUUUGAUGCAGUCGGGGAAGACGUUCCAGAGGAGGAGGUUCUAGGUAGAACAUGGAAAAUGGAACACUGAAGAGAAGGCAGAGGUGUGAGAUUGGAGCCUGCACUGAAUCUGUGAAGGUGACCCUGUGAAAGGGUCGUUGGAAAUCCCGAAGGAGUUACGACCCACAGGUUGAGAACUACCGUCCAAGCGGGUUCUCUCAUACUCAUCUAGAGAGACACAUUAGUGUGAGAGAGAACAGGCAAGAGUGCCAAGAUCCAGAGAAUCCUGACACCACGUGAGCAAUGCUUACAUAGUACCAUUGGCUGUGGCUGCUCAGAUCUGGAGACAAUCAUCCUUCAAAGUUCUGAGGGUACUGGACUGGCAAGGACGCCAUAAGCCUGACCUGGAAGGCCUCACUCGACCCUCCUCUCUGGUUUUCAUCCUCCCUACAUGUCUCCAGCAGCUGGGAAAGCCAUCUGGGAAAAACUGAAAUGUCUGUAAGAAAGGCGUACCACUCCCAACAGCUGCAGUGGACACCCGGAUAUCCUAGACUGGGUCAUUUACAGUGACAUUUUUUUUCUCAUGGAUCUGGAGACUAAAGAACUCCAAGAUCAAGAACCUUCAGCCAUCAGGGACUUCCUGGAAGAAUGCAGAGAGCAGAAGGCAUGCUUGAAUGCAGAAGGACUCAACUCACUCAAAUAGAACAGCCAUUCUCAAGAUGAAGAGCCUCUUGACAUUCCCAAGGGAAGAUUCUGACGCUAUCACCCUCACAAGCCCCUAUCUUGGCAUUGCUGUAAAAGGGAGAACUUUCCAACAAAUGAACUUUGGGGGACACAGUCAAAUCAUCGCAUUCCCCACCCCCCAUCUCUCAUCUGGCCUUCUUAUCUCUGUACAGUGACACUGGAAACCAAUUGCUGUGUUUAAGCUACUGAGAACUUGUGUUAAAAGAGCAAAGCCUUUCUCGAGCUAGCACAAGCAUACUGUGGGGGUGGGCUGGGCUUAGCGGUUGCCAUGUGUUGAUGUAAUGCUUCCACAGUGUUCAGUGUCUCCCAGACUGCGCAAAAUGCAUCACAGGCAGUGGAGCGCGUGGCCCCUUGCAGCCCUGUGGGACGGAAGAGUUUUAUUACGUCUGUUUUGCAGAGGAGGAGGAAACAGAGGCAAAAAUAGAUUAAGUAACUUGAUAAGAAUAUCAAGGCUAACAUUUACCAUUUCUGGAUUCCAUCAGCCACAGCUGACAUGUGAGAUGACUUGUGAGGAACUCAGGUCUGGCAGGUACUAGAUGCUCAGUAAAUCCUUCCUAUUGUCAUUCCCCAGCCCACCCGCUCCCCAUGUCCUCAGACAUCCAGUUCCAAGACUGUGAAGGGAGACCUUGCCGGAAUUCUCACCUCACACAGCCAUCAAAAUGGCUCCGGCCUGGGCAGAGCUAAGCAACACUGGAACCAUUGUGGUUUUCCAUUUUAAAGGGUGUGCAUUGCCUCUUGGCCUUUUGGCUUAGGUCAAGUGAAAAGUGUGCUACUCUGUGCUUCCCUGCCCUGCCCUGCCCUGCAUCUGCCCUGCAUCUACCCUGUCUGCCCUGCCCUGUGCUAGCCCUGCCCUCACCCCUGCACCUGCUCCUGACCACUGUUCCCACACCUGCUCUUGCUGCCAGCCGCACCCCCACCCAUCCCCCUGGGCAAGGCGAAUCAGCUGAAGGCACUGGCCUCAUCUGGGUAACGUAAGCUUCUUUGGUGCUUGGUUUUCAUCUCUUGCCAUGGGAUUAUGUUUCUUGUAACCCUACUUCCUGGCUCUCUUGCACACUAGAUUUAUAAGGGCUGUGCACUUUGACCCUAGGGUGGAUUUGGUUGCCCUCCCUCAGAGCAGACUUGUCUGGUACAUGAAGUUGGAGAUCCUGUUUAAGUGUUUUGUUUUGUUGUUUUAAAUCAAGGGGAUAAAAACACAUGGAAGAGGGUGUGGGGACUGCCAUGGUUGAAACCUACCUCUGAUAAGCUGCAGAUGGGGUACCCUGGGCCUGAGUGGUUCAGACACUAAGAAAGUGGCCUCUGUUGUUUCAUCAGACACAGAGCUAGAAAGCUCUGUCCACCCUGUCUAUGGCUGGACAACAGCAUGAGUGCUAGAGUCCCAAGGUCCUGGACAGAACCAGCACUGGCCAUGUUAAUACAAUCCCAGUGGCCUCACGGUCCCACUCUGGACCAUUUUCUGGGGGAUACUGGCUAUGGAUGAUGUUGGGUAGGUGCUGUUGGUAUUCAGAAUCUCUUUGCAUCUCUUUGGGAAACCCUUCACGUCUGGGGAUCUUGGAGGUUGCCCUGCAGAAUUAAGCCAGAUCAGCACCAAAGGGCCCUUCUGUCAAUCAUUACACCCAAACCAAACCACCUGAGCUUGCUACUCUCAAAGAAGACAUAGGUUUGGUUCCCAGGACCACACGGAAGAAGAGAACAGCUCUCUUAAAUUGUCCUCUGACCUCUACUCCUCUCUCUGUCUCUGUCUCUGUCUCUGUCUCUGUCUCUGUCUCUGUCU